AAAAAAAGAAAAAGAAAAAAGAAAGAGGCCUGAUUUGAACAGAUCACACACUAUUACCAAGAGUUCAUUUUUAAUUUCACCAAAUAUAUGGUCAGAAAAGUAUUUAGAAGCCAACUAUUUUAUAUCUCGCCAUUAUUGUGUUCAUAAAAGCAACCCCAAGCACAUAGAGAAGGGGGAGGCAUUGCACUAUAAACUGGUUGCAUAUACUACCAGACAAAAUUGAAGUCCAAACACUACCUAGAGCAAUUUCAAUAUCGGAAAGUUGCUUAUAUACAUGGGCGGAGCCAGCUGGAGCUAAGGGGAGGGGCAUUGAGCCCUCCUGAAAUUUUAAAAUUUUUUAAGGACUUGAUAGUAAUUUAAAAAAAAAGUUUAUUCUUACUUUAAAUUUUGAUGAGUAUGAGAACUUGAGAAUUUCAAAAAUUUUAAGUGAGUUUAAUAGUAAUUU
rnacentral:misc_RNA from 1 species